rnacentral:rRNA from 1 species
AUUGAACGCUGGCGGCAGGCCUAACACAUGCGAGUCGAGCGGAUGAAGGGAGCUUGCUCCUGGAUUCAGCGGCGGACGGGUGAGUAAUGCCUAGGAAUCUGCCUGGUAGUGGGGGAUAACGUCCGGAAACGGGCGCUAAUACCGCAUACGUCCUGAGGGAGAAAGUGGGGGAUCUUCGGACCUCACGCUAUCAGAUGAGCCUAGGUCGGAUUAGCUAGUUGGUGGGGUAAAGGCCUACCAAGGCGACGAUCCGUAACUGGUCUGAGAGGAUGAUCAGUCACACUGGAACUGAGACACGGUCCAGACUCCUACGGGAGGCAGCAGUGGGGAUUAUUGGACAAUGGGCGAAAGCCUGAUCCAGCCAUGCCGCGUGUGUGAAGAAGGUCUUCGGAUUGUAAAGCACUUUAAGUUGGGAGGAAGGGCAGUAAGUUAAUACCUUGCUGUUUUGACGUUACCAACAGAAUAAGCACCGGCUAACUUCGUG